UGCCAGCCGCCGCGGUAAUACGGAGGGGGUUAGCGUUGUUCGGAAUUACUGGGCGUAAAGCGCACGUAGGCGGAUUAAUAAGUCGAGGGUGAAAUCCCAGGGCUCAACCCUGGAACUGCCUUCGAUACUGUUAGUCUUGAGUUCGAGAGAGGUGAGUGGAAUUCCGAGUGUAGAGGUGAAAUUCGUAGAUAUUAGAAGGAACAUCAGAGGCGAAGGCGGCUUUCUGGUCCGAUACUGACGCUGAGGUACGAAAGCGUGGGGAGCAAACAGGAUUAGAUA
rnacentral:rRNA from 1 species